UGUCUAUAGAGGAGGGGUACCGUCUCCCUGUCCCCAUGGACUGUCCUGUGGUUCUACAUUACAGGUGAUCCUGUCUAUAGAGGAGGGUUACCGUCUCCCUGUCCCCAUGGACUGUCCUGUGGUUCUACAUUACAGGUGAUCCUGUCUAUAGAGGAGGGUUACCGUCUCCCUGUCCCCAUGGACUGUCCUGUGGUUCUACAUUACAGGUGAUCCUGUCUAUAGAGGAGGGUUACCGUCUCCCUGUCCCCAUGGACUGUCCUGUGGUUCUACAUUACAGGUGAUCCUGUCUAUAGAGGAGGGUUACCGUCUCCCUGUCCCCAUGGACUGUCCUGUGGUUCUAC